rnacentral:rRNA from 1 species
UCGAGAAUUUUUCUCAAUGGGCGAAAGCCUGAAGGAGCGACGCCGCGUGGGGGAUGAAGGGCUUCGGCCCGUAAACCCCUGUCAUUUGCGAACAAGUGUCAUGAUUGAAUAUUUCAUGGCUUGAUUGUAGCGAAAGAGGAAGGGACGGCUAACUCUGUGCCAGCAGCCGCGGUAAUACAGAGGUCCCGAGCGUUGUUCGGAUUCACUGGGCGUAAAGGGUGCGCAGGUGGGCUGGUAAGUUCGAUGUGAAAGCCCCGGGCUUAACCCGGGAAUGGCAUUGGAUACUACUGGUCUGGAGGAUCGGAGGGGGGACUGGAAUUCUUGGUGUAGCAGUGAAAUGCGUAGAUAUCAAGAGGAACACCAGUGGCGAAGGCGAGUCCCUGGACGAUACCUGACACUGAGGCACGAAAGCCGGGGGAGCAAACAGGAUUAGAUACCCGCGUAGUCC